UGGGGAAUAUUGCACAAUGGGCGCAAGCCUGAUGCAGCGACGCCGCGUGAGGGAUGACGGCCUUCGGGUUGUAAACCUCUUUCAAUAGGGACGAAGCGCAAGUGACGGUACCUAUAGAAGAAGGACCGGCCAACUACGUGCCAGCAGCCGCGGUAAUACGUAGGGUCCGAGCGUUGUCCGGAAUUACUGGGCGUAAAGAGCUCGUAGGUGGUUUGUCGCGUUGUUCGUGAAAACUCACAGCUUAACUGUGGGCGUGCGGGCGAUACGGGCAGACUAGAGUACUGCAGGGGAGACUGGAAUUCCUGGUGUAGCGGUGGAAUGCGCAGAUAUCAGGAGGAACACCGGUGGCGAAGGCGGGUCUCUGGGCAGUAACUGACGCUGAGGAGCGAAAGCGUGGGGAGCGAACAGGAUUAGAUACCCUGGUAGUCCACGCCGUAAACGGUGGGUACUAGGUGUGGGUUUCCUUCCUUGGGAUCCGUGCCGUAGCUAACGCAUUAAGUACCCCGCCUGGGGAGUACGGCCGCAAGGCUAAAACUCAAAGGAAUUGAC
rnacentral:rRNA from 1 species